GGUGCUGCAUGGCUGUCGUCAGCUCGUGUCGUGAGAUGUUGGGUUAAGUCCGCAACGAGCGCAACCCUUGCCUUUAGUUGCCAGCAGUUCGGCUGGGCACUCUAAAGGGACUGCCGGUGUUAAACCGGAGGAAGGUGGGGAUGACGUCAAGUCCUCAUGGCCUUUAUGACCAGGGCUACACACGUACUACAAUGGUCGGUACAAAGGGUUGCCAAGCCGCGAGGUGGAGCUAAUCCCAUAAAACCGAUCGUAGUCCGGAUCGCAGUCUGCAACUCGACUGCGUGAAGUCGGAAUCGCUAGUAAUCGUGAAUCAGAAUGUCACGGUGAAUACGUUCCCGGGCCUU
rnacentral:rRNA from 1 species